CCUACGGGGGGCAGCAGUGGGGAAUAUUGCACAAUGGGGGAAACCCUGAUGCAGCGACGCCGCGUGAGUGAAGAAGUAUUUCGGUAUGUAAAGCUCUAUCAGCAGGGAAGAAAAUGACGGUAACUGACUAAGAAGCCCCGGCUAACUACGUGCCAGCAGCCUCGGUAAUACGUAGGGGGCAAGCGUUAUCCGGAUUUACUGGGUGUAAAGGGAACGUAGAAGGCAGGACAAGUCUGGAGUGAAAUGCCGGGGCUUAACCCUGGAACUGCUUUGGAAACUGUGCAGCUAGAGUGCAGGAGAGGUAAGUAGAAUUCCUGGUGUAGCGGUGAAAUGCGUAGAUAUUAGGAGGAACACCAGUGGCGAAGGCGGCUAACUGGACUGUAACUGACGUUGAGGCGCGAAAGCGUGGGGAGCAAACAGGAUUAGAUACCCGAGUAGUC
rnacentral:rRNA from 1 species